rnacentral:rRNA from 1 species
GAGUUUGAUCUUGGCUCAGGAUGAACGCCGGCGGUGUGCCUAAUACAUGCAAGUCGUACGCACUGGCCCAACUGAUUGAUGGUGCUUGCACCUGAUUGACGAUGGAUCACCAGUGAGUGGCGGACGGGUGAGUAACACGUAGGUAACCUGCCCCGGAGCGGGGGAUAACAUUUGGAAACAGAUGCUAAUACCGCAUAACAACAAAGGCCACAUGGCUUUUGUUUGAAAGAUGGCUUUGGCCAUCACUCUGGGAUGGACCUGCGGUGCAUUAGCUAGUUGGUAAGGUAACGGCUUACCAAGGCGAUGAUGCAUAGCCGAGUUGAGAGACUGAUCGGCCACAAUGGAACUGAGACACGGUCCAUACUCCUACGGGAGGCAGCAGUAGGGAAUCUUCCACAAUGGGCGCAAGCCUGAUGGAGCAACACCGCGUGAGUGAAGAAGGUUUCGGCUCGUAAAGCUCUGUUGUUGGAGAAGAACGUGUGUGAGAGU